rnacentral:rRNA from 1 species
GACGAACGCUGGCGGCGUGCUUAACACAUGCAAGUCGAACGGAAAGGCCCUGCUUUUGUGGGGUGCUCGAGUGGCGAACGGGUGAGUAACACGUGAGUAACCUGCCCUUGACUUUGGGAUAACUUCAGGAAACUGGGGCUAAUACCGGAUAGGAGCUCCUGCUGCAUGGUGGGGGUUGGAAAGUUUCGGCGGUUGGGGAUGGACUCGCGGCUUAUCAGCUUGUUGGUGGGGUAGUGGCUUACCAAGGCUUUGACGGGUAGCCGGCCUGAGAGGGUGACCGGCCACAUUGGGACUGAGAUACGGCCCAGACUCCUACGGGAGGCAGCAGUGGGGAAUAUUGCACAAUGGGCGGAAGCCUGAUGCAGCAGCGCCGCGUGCGGGAUGACGGCCUUCGGGUUGUAAACCGCCUUCGCCUGUGACGAAGCGUGAGUGACGGUAAUGGGUAAAGAAGCACCGGCUAACUACGUG